rnacentral:rRNA from 1 species
CCUCGCAAGAGGAAUUCGGAGACAGGUGCUGCAUGGCUGUCGUCAGCUCGUGUCGUGAGAUGUUGGUUAAGUCCCGCAACGAGCGCAACCCUUGUCUUUAGUUGCCAUCAUUAAGUUGGGCACUCUAAAGAGACUGCCGGUGUCAAACCGGAGGAAGGUGGGGAUGACGUCAAGUCCUCAUGGCCUUUAUGACCAGGGCUACACACGUACUACAAUGGCAGGUACAAAGGGCAGCCACUUAGCGAUAAGGCGCGAAUCCCGUAAAACCUGUCUCAGUCCGGAUUGGAGUCUGCAACUCGACUCCAUGAAGUUGGAAUCGCUAGUAAUCGCAGAUCAGCACGCUGCGGUGAAUACGUUCCCGGGCCUU